rnacentral:piRNA from 1 species
UCAUUCAGAGCACAGAAACUCACCAGAGUC